UGCUCUCGUCCGCAUCGUUUACGUAUCUUAUUUCACAACAAUAUUAUUGUACAAUGUUCGGAAUGUUCCGUAUUGACGCUGCGCUGUUCGUUAUCGGCGUUCGACUGCACCGACACCGCCCCGCCGCUCGCCGUCAGAGAACAGCAUUGCCUGUCGCCACCACCGGUCACACUCGCGUCUGAGCGGUACGUGUUCGUCGAUCGCCGCCGACCUAUUAUUUUGACGCGCGACGACAAACGACGACGACGCCAACAACAACAACAACAAUAACAAUAAUAAUAAUAGAUAAUCGUAAUGAUAUUCCAUACAUCGGGGCUGCGCGGCGGCGGUGAUAAAAUAUAGAUUGUGGCGAACGGAAAACGCGUAAAACAAUAAUUAUUGAUGUGAAGACGUCUUAUACGGCGCUCGAAUGUUAUCGUUUGUACAUUUCCGAUCAUUAUCGUUUUUGCGUAACGCUCGAUAGGUACCUAUUAUAAUAUUAUUAAAAGGAGAGGUGAUUUUUAUGUCUGAAAUUUUACUGUUUUUUCAAUUUUUUCGAAAAUUAUUCUGCCACCAACAGUCGAAUUCGAGUUCAAUUUGUUUGUCACAAUUAUGCGGUACCUAUGCAAUGGCGAAAAAUCAUAAGACUCCAGAUAACGACCCGAUGAAAUCUAAACCACAGCAGGGGUAUCAGGAUUGUAUAGAGAUAGGUUAGUAUUAUAGUCCAGUAUGCGGUAUUCAAGGGUGAUUGAUCAUAAGACUCAAGAUAACGACAAGAUGAAACCUUUAUCAUCGCUGGUGUAUCAAGACUGUGUAGUGGAGGAUUGAUUCAGUUGAUUAUGCAGUAUGCAAUUGUGAAAAAUCAUAAAACUCCAGAUAAUAACCUGAAGAAAUCUAAAUCAUAGCACGUGUAUCAAGAUUGCAAG